GAUGCAGGUAUUUCCUAGAAAAUAAAUAAAAGUAAUUUCCUUAGUUUCACUAAUAUAUUUCUUUUGGAUGACUUAUGUGAUUUGCAGACAGUGAUUUUAGGAGGAACUGACACAACUAAUAUUGUUCUUACAUGGGCAAUAUCUUUGAUAUUGAGAAAUCCUUCUGUACUGGAAAAAGCUAAAACCGAACUAGACAUUCAAAUUGGGAAAGAAAAUCUGGUGACUGAGUCGGAUAUAAGUAAGUUAACAUAUCUUCAAGCCAUAGUCAAAGAAACUAUGAGAUUGUAUCCUCCUGCUCCUCUUUCGGGACCUCGUGAAUUCACAGAGAAUUGUACUUUAAGUGGUUAUAACAUAGAAAAGGGAAGUCGUCUAAUUACAAAUCUUUGGAAGAUUCAAACAGAUAGCAAUGUUUGGGAAGAGCCGUUGGAAUUCAAACCAGAAAGGUUUCUAACAACUCACAAAGAUGUUGAUAUCAAAGGUAAACAUUUUGAGUUAUUACCAUUUGGAAGUGGUAGAAGAAUGUGUCCAGGAGUAUCCUUUGGCCUUCAAAUGGUGCAUUUUAUUCUUGCUACUUUUUUACAUUCUUUUGAAAUUCUAAGUGCAUCACCUGAUCCUAUUGAUAUGAGUGAAACCUUUGGAUUAGUCAACACCAAAACCACUCCACUUGAGAUUCUUAUUAAACCACAUCUAUCUUUUACUUGUUAUCAAAACCUCUAAUCCUUGUGUCAACUACAUGAUCACAUUGGAUUUUUCUUCCAAGUAAUUUUCUUUCUAUAGUUUGUUCAAAGUACUUGUUGUUAUCUUUAUCGUUUGUGUGAUAAAUUAUUUCAAAAUGAUGUAUACUUAUUAUCUUUGUAUUUCUGUUCAUAAUACAUUUGUGGCUUGUUUAUGUAAUUUCAGCUCUUUUUCUCAUAAACCAUUGUGCUAUCAAAAAUUUGGGUUAAAUUAAAUAAAAAAUAAAAAUAAUUCUUCCAUAUGAAAAAAAAAAAUAGACAAAAAAUAGUAACGAAAGAGUUAUUUAUAGUUUAAAAGGAAUCGAUGAAAGAAAUUUUAUAUUAAAAAGUGUUCUUUUAUGUUAUGUUUUGAUUACGUAAUUUAGAAAAAUAAUUUAUUUAUUUAAAAAAUUUAAAAUUUUUUAGAUUUAACUAUACAUUUGAUUCUUAUAUUUACAUUUGAUUCUCGACAAAUAUUGACUAAUAUGUCGGUAAAAUUUAUUAAUAACUUUCUUUUUUAAAAUUGUUGAUCAUGAUAAUCCGUCAAUAAAUUCAAAAUUUUCUUUUAUGGUUUGUUAUAGCAUACUCAUUACAUUAGAUCUUAUAUCAAAAACAUUUUCUUUCUUUCUUUUGCAUUUUAAAAUAUGUAAAAGUAUUAUAAAUUUUUACUAUUACAAAAGUAAGUGACAAUAUUCUAACAUUAGUUUAUAGUCUUUCAAGGAAUUUAAAUAUGAACACACUUUCUCGAGUUUUCGAAAUGAAUAGUAAAAAGAAUGAAUAAUAUCAUACGCAUAAAGUUCAAUCUUGAGUUGGCGUCCUUUUAAGUAUGACGCAAAGCUUUUAAGUCAUGAAUCAUGAAAUCAUUACACAAGAUAUUCUUAUUAAAACACGUCUAUACGUAGAUUAUGACCAAAUUAAUUACAUUGCACUCUUUAUUAAUUAAUUACAUGGUAUUGAAUGAAAAAAAGUUGAAUUAUUUACAAUAAAAAUUCAACUGUAAUAUUUCAUAAUUUAGUUUUACAAAACCGAAUUUUCAAAAUUAUAGUUCAGUUAAUUAUUUAUUAUUUUAAAAUUAAUUUUUUUAUACUUUUUACUUAUUUAAAAGUCUUUAAAAUUACAAUUCAAUUUUGCUACUACUAAUUUUACCAUACUUUGUUUAGAAUUGAUUGGUGGAAUUCGAUUGACUUUCUAUUGGAGUUGACUUGUAGAAUUUAAUAAAUAUUUUAUAAGAGCUAACACAGUUGAAUUUCAAUUGAGAUUAACUUGACCAAGUUUUGGUUAUGCCCAAAUCGAUCGAAUUUCAUCAAUUCUUGUCCAAGAUUGACUUAACCAGAUUCAAUCGAUUUUCAGCCAGGACCAUCCAACCAUUUGUGGUUGUCCCACCAAAUUCCAGUGAUUUUCAACAAGGCCUGAUUCAAUCGAAUUCAACGAAUUUUGACCGAGACCAAAUCAAUUAAGUUUCAGUCAUGGACAUCUUAGCUGAAUUUCGCCAAGGAAAAUUAGACUAAAUUUGGUCAAUUUUCAAUCAGGAUCGCCUAGAUCGAGUUUCAGAUGUGGUAGUUUCGAUCAAAUUCGGUAGAUUUUCGACUAGGGUUGACUCAGUCAAAUUUCGGUUGAGACCGACUUUAUUGAGUUUUUUUUAUGACUUCUCGACCUAAUUAAGUUAAUUUUGGGUUCGAACUGACUUGAUUGAUUUUUGACCGAAACAACACCUUUUGAAUUUGAUCAAAUUUCGGUCUCGACCUAUUUCGAUUAAGUAAAGACAAAUAUUUUUUAUCUACUUAGUUAAUUUUUAUUUUUUUCACGGUUUUUAAAUAAUAGUUCAGUUCAAUGGAUGUUUACAUAUUUAUAAGCAUAUAUAGUUUAUAGUUUCUCAUUUUUUUUUGUAAAGAAAAGCAUUGUGUCAAUAAGCUAAUUAAUUUACUUUUAAUUCAUAAAAAAUAAUAUAAGUGGUUUAGUUUCUUAUCUCCAUGUAUUUAUUUAAACUUUAUAUUCAUAAUAAUUAGAUUUUUAAUAAUAGGUAUAGUUUGUGUGUAUUUUGUAAAGUGUAUUUUUUAUUAUAAAUUUCCUGCUUUGUAUUUUUUUUAUUGUUUUGACUUUUUAAUAACUUUUCAUAUAACAAAUUAAAGGUAGGCUUUUGAGAUGUUAAGAUGUGAAAAAUUAUAGUAAUUCCUAACAAAUUUUUUUAAUAUAAAAAUGUAUAAUUAAUUUAUAAAUUUAUCUAAAUUGAUAUCUAAUAUUAGUUUCCAAAAUUUUAAUUUAGUUUCCAACUUCUCUAAUUUAAUUAUAAGAUCUCCGAAGAAAAAACGUUUCAUCAAUAAGCAUCAUCGAUUUAAGAUAUAAAUCCUUGAUAUUUCGGUAUAAGAUAUUUACUUUAUUAACAAGUUGAUAUUAGAUUCGCGCUCUUUAUAUAAGCCAUCGAAUUUAGAUUUUGAAUAUAAAAAGACUUAAUAGGAAUAAGAGGUUUUGCUUUUACAGAAAUUAAUUAUUAGUUAAUGAGUAUAUAAAUUGUUAAUUAUUACUUGAAGUAUCUUUAAUAUCUUAAGAAAACGAUAUUUACUUCAACUUCUUUUAAAGGUGAGAGAUAAGGUUGGGUGUUGAAAUAUUUUUCUUAAGUAAAUUCAGCAUCACCCACUAACCUAUAAUAAUUAUAUAUUCAACUUCUACUAAUUUUUUUUAUCACUACCAGAAACUUCAUAUAUAGUACUUUUAAAAUGAAUUAUUUGGUUUGGACUAGUUGGUAACGAGUAAAUUUAAGUUAACUCACUUGUUAAUAAUUUAUAUUAGAAUCUUGAAUAGAUAUAUUUACGUUAAGAAGAUUUAGAUUUAAGGUUUUCACUUUUUCUAAUAUAGAUUAAAAUCUACGAGUGAAUUGGUGAGUCAAUUAAAUCAUUACACUGGUUUAACUCAGAUAAAUCAAGUCCUUAAUGGGUAUGGUUCAUUUUGAUUAGUGUCAAAAAUUAUAAUUUCUUUAAAACUCAAUCAUGUGAGGUUUCCCUUAGAGUUUAACUCAGUUUUAUAACACUAACUUAAGUUUAGGAUCAUCGCUAAAAGAUUUAGCACGUCUAAACAAAGACCACUUAACCUACCCAAAUUAAUAAUUCAAUAAUUAACAUCAACUUUCUAUACCAAACAAAAAUGUAGCACUUCACUUAGUUAUCAACUUCGCCUUUUCCUCAUCACUGUAGCAAUGAAUGCUCUAUUUAAGGGAAGCCUCCUACUCAACAACAACAUACAACCUUAACAAAAGCUCAAAUGGAUUUUGUUCUAAAUUACCUGAAUUCCACUACCGUUGGACUUCUGUCUCUAAUUCUCUUCUGUUUAUUUCUGUAUAAUCCCUUCAAAUUUCGACAAGGUAAAGAGGCUCCCAGAGUUGCAGGAGCAUGGCCAAUACUUGGUCACCUUCCAUUGUUGAGUCGUUCAAAGACACCCCAUAGAACUUUGGGUGAUUUGGCUGAAAAAUAUGGACCCAUCUUCACCAUCCAACUUGGUUCAAAAAAGACUUUGGUAAUCAACAACUGGGAAAUAGCAAAGGAAUGCUUCACCACAAACGACACGGCGGUUUCCUCUCGCCCCAAGCUUCUUGCCAUGGAACUCAUGGGCUACAACAACGCCGUGUUUGGCUUUGCACCCUAUGGUCCCUAUUGGCGCGAGCUACGAAAGAUUACAACUUUAGAGAUCCUUUCCUCUCGUCGAGUGGAACAACUGCAGCAUGUUCGAGUCUCAGAACUUCAAAGCUCGAUCAAAGAGAUGUAUAAUCUUUGGUGUAGCCAAAAGGGUGAGUCUGGCUAUGCCUUAGUGGACCUGAAACAAUGGUUUUCUCGCCUGGCUUUCAACAUGGUCCUUCGCAUGGUCGUUGGGAAGAGAUAUUUUGGCGGUGAAAACUUGGACGAUGAGAAGGCACAGCGAUGUGUGAAAGCUGUGGAGGAAUUCCUGCGUCUGUUGGGUGUGUUCGCAGUGGGAGAUGCUAUUCCUUGGUUGAGAUGGCUUGAUUUUGGAGGCGUUGAGAAGGCAAUGAAAGAAACUGCCAAAGAAUUGGACAGUAUUUUAGGUGAGGAGUUAGAGGAACACAGACAAAAGAAGGGUUUGGGUGAGAAGGUUGAUGAAUUUCAAGAUUUCAUGGAUGUCAUGAUUUCCUUGUUUGAUGGAAAAACAAUUGAUGGGUUUGAUGCAGAUACCAUGAUCAAAUCCACUGUACUGGUAUGUAUAUGUUUAAUUUACAUAUUUCAGUCCUUUCGAGAUGUGAAACUUCAACAAAAUUAUCCAUACAAAUAUAACAUAGUUCUGCAAUCAGAUUUUAUAUAUUUUCCUAAAUAAUUUUAGAAAUUAAAAUACAUAUUUUACUUCGUCGGUUUACCAUAAGUAGUAUGAAAAUUGGUUUUAAAAUAUAAGUUGUAGUUGAUGAUGUAUAACCAUUACAAACACCAACUUAUUCUCUCACACAACCAAGUUACUGUUUGCCGGUGUCUUGUGUUGUAGUAUAAGGUUCACUUGAUACGAGGGAGAGAUCUGAGUUUUUAUUAUUUUUUGGCUAAGAGAGGGACAUACUAUGCCUAGGAGCAAUGUACUCUUUGGUUGGGAGUGGAAAUUUUGGUGUUGUGGAAAAGGACAUUUGUGGUGUUGAAAGAAUGAAAAUCAAUGAACCACUUAGAAUUUAUUUUCUACUUUUCUACUCUGAUUUGGAUUUUGAGAAGGAUAGUUAGAUUUUGAGAAAAAAAAAAACUUUUAAAUUCUACAUCAGUAAUUUAGAAUUGUUUACCUUUUACAUCUUGGAAAUAUAGAAUGGUUAUACAACUUAUGUAAGUAUUUCCUAGAAAUUAAAUAACCUCUUUCGUAAAUUAGAACUAAUUUUCUUAGUUUCACUGAUGUAUUUCUUUUGGAUGACUUAUUUGAUUUGCAGUCGGUGAUUUCAGGAGGAACUGAUACGAGUAAUACUGUUCUUACAUGGGUAAUAUCUUUGAUACUAAGAAAUCCUCAUGUUUUGGAAAAUGUUAAAACCGAACUAGACAUUCAAAUUGGAAAAGAGAAAUUGGUGAGUGAGUUAGAUAUAAGUAAGUUAACAUAUCUUCAAGCCAUAGUCAAAGAAACUCUGAGAUUGUAUCCUCCUGGUCCUCUUUCGGGACCUCGUGAAUUCACAGAGAAUUGCACUUUAAGUGGUUAUAACAUAGAAAAAGGAACUCGUCUAAUUACAAAUCUAUGGAAGAUUCAGACAGACAGCAAUGUUUGGGAAGAGCCGUUGGAAUUCAAACCAGAAAGGUUUCUAACAACACACAAAGAUAUUGAUAUCAAAGGUCAACAUUUUGAGCUAUUACCAUUUGGAAGUGGUAGAAGAAUGUGUCCAGGAAUAUCCUUUGGCCUUCAAAUGGUGCAUUUUAUUCUUGCUUCUUUUUUACAUUCUUUUGAAAUUCUAAGUGCAUCAUCUGAUCCUAUUGAUAUGACUGAAACCUUUGGAUUAACCAACACCAAAACCACUCCACUUGAAAUUCUUGUUAAACCACGUCUAUCGUUUACUUGUUAUGAAAACCACUAAUCCUUGUGUCAGUUAAAUAAUCACAUUGGAUUUUUGUUUAGUAAUUUUCCUUCUAGUUUCUUCAAAUUACUUGGUGCUAUAUCUUUAUAGUUUCUCUGAUAAAUUAUUUUGAAAGGUUGUAUAUUUGUUAUAUUUGUAUUUAUGUUUAAAGUACAUUUAGGCUUGUUU
rnacentral:lncRNA from 1 species